AUGAACGCUGGCGGCGUGCCUAAUACAUGCAAGUCGCGCGAACAGACGAGGAGCUUGCUCCUCUGACGUUAGCGGCGGACGGGUGAGUAACACGUGGAUAACCUACCUAUAAGACUGGGAUAACUUCGGGAAACCGGAGCUAAUACCGGAUAAUAUAUUGAACCGCAUGGUUCAAUAGUGAAAGACGGUUUUGCUGUCACUUAUAGUUGGAUCCGCGCCGCAUUAGCUAGUUGGUAAGGUAACGGCUUACCAAGGCAACGAUGCGUAGCCGACCUGAGAGGGUGAUCGGCCACACUGGAACUGAGACACGGUCCAGACUCCUACGGGAGGCAGCAGUAGGGAAUCUUCCGCAAUGGGCGAAAGCCUGACGGAGCAACGCCGCGUGAGUGAUGAAGGUCUUCGGAUCGUAAAACUCUGUUAUUAGGGAAGAACAAAUGUGUAAGUAACUAUGCACGUCUUGACGGUACCUAAUCAGAAAGCCACGGCUAACUACGUG
rnacentral:rRNA from 1 species